GACGGUUUCUUUUUUCCCUCUGCACCAGCAACAAACUAACGCUUGGAUCUUCACGUGUCUAUCUCUCGCUUUUUUUCGUUUGCGUCUAUUUUCUUCUUCUUUUUUCUUCUUCUGCGCCUUCGGCUUCGUUUCUUGCAAAACUUAUCACCGUCUUUCUUGUUUUCUUUGUAAUAUUUGACGGUGGUCUUUGAUAGAUAACAAGCUAGCACGUAGGCAAAAAUAAAGUGCGAGUCAGUAAUACCAAUAGAGAAAGAAUUACACAGAGGUUUAAAGAAAAAGGCUUUAGAUUAGAUAUGGAAGGAAAGAAGCAGCAAUUGGGUUCUUCCUCUUCUUCAUCAUUUACUUCUGAACUGUUUGGUUCUAAAGAUUCUUCUUCUUCUUCCUCUGGGAUUUUUGGCUCUAUUUUUGCACCUCCUCCUAAGGUGUUGGGGAGAGGGUCACUACGAUCUGAGAUGGUUGGCAAGAAGCAGGAUUCUGCUAAUGGUUCUUGGAACACCAUACCUGGACCUCCAGCCGAAACUUCUAAAAGCAACGAGAGUGAAGGUCAGAACAUUCCAAGUAGAGAUACAGGUUCCUUUUAUCAGGAUCAGAAAGUGCAACCAUGCCAUCUCAGUUCAUCAAUCUAUUAUGGUGGUCAAGACAUUUAUCAUCAUCCCCAGAAUAGCCAGAGCUCUAGUCACUCAAUGUAUCAUGGCUGGUUUUCUCAGCAUCAUCUUGUAAAUUGGCUCAUGCCUCAUGAUCAAAUUGAGGAACUUCUGACAUGUUCUAUUAACUCAUUCAGUUCAAGAAAGAAGGGACAGAAGACGAUUCUGGAAGUGCUUCAAGAGGAAACUGGUGGCAGGGGUCUCUGUAUUACUGAGAUCUCAUCUGCCAUGACACAUACUCAGCUAGGUACUUAUCUCUAAAAGGGACCUACUGGAAUAGAUAUAUUUUACAUAACAGUUUUUCCUUUAAAUUUAUGCAUAAAGGCACGUAUAUAACAUAGGGCAGCAGUAGCACCUAAAAAUUUACCUUUUGUUUUGUGUAAGAUGGGAAGUGGCAGUCAGAUGGCUGGUUAUUGUUAUAUCCUCCAGCUAAAGAUAUAUUUCUAUAUAUCAUAACAUGUAUCAACUCUCUGCUUCUUCCUUUUCUUUUUAUUAUAUUGUAAAGGAUGAUGAACUUUUUUUUUGUAACAUAAGUGAUAUUCUCUUUAGGAGGCACCCUGAAUGGAUAUUUCAUAUGCAUUCUCUUA